CAGCAGCCACGGUAAUACGGAGGGUGCAAGCGUUAAUCGGAAUUACUGGGCGUAAAGCGCACGCAGGCGGUUUGUUAAGUCAGAUGUGAAAUCCCCGAGCUUAACUUGGGAACUGCAUUUGAAACUGGCAAGCUAGAGUCUUGUAGAGGGGGGUAGAAUUCCAGGUGUAGCGGUGAAAUGCGUAGAGAUCUGGAGGAAUACCGGUGGCGAAGGCGGCCCCCUGGACAAAGACUGACGCUCAGGUGCGAAAGCGUGGGGAGCAAACAGGAUUAGAUACCCGGGUAGUCCCUGUCUCUUAUAC
rnacentral:rRNA from 1 species